UGAGGAAUAUUGGUCAAUGGACGGAAGUCUGAACCAGCCAAGUAGCGUGCAGGAUGACGGCCCUAUGGGCUGUAAACUGCUUUUGUAUGGGGAUAAAGUUAGGGACGUGUCCCUAUUUGCAGGUACCAUACGAAUAAGGACCGGCUAAUUCCGUGCCAGCAGCCGCGGUAAUACGGAAGGUCCAGGCGUUAUCCGGAUUUAUUGGGUUUAAAGGGAGCGUAGGCUGGAGAUUAAGUGUGUUGUGAAAUGUAGACGCUCAACGUCUGAAUUGCAGCGCAUACUGGUUUCCUUGAGUACGCNNAAGUGGGGGAAAUUCCUCGUGUAGCGGUGAAAUGCUUAUAUAUGACAAAAAACUCCGAUUGCGAAGGCAGCUGACGGGAGCGCAACUGACGCUUAAGCUCGAAGGUGCGGGUAUCAAACAGGAUUAGAUACCCUGGUAGUCCGCACAGUAAACGAUGGAUGCCCGCUGUUGGUACCUGGUAUCAGCGGCUAAGCGAAAGCAUUAAGCAUCCCACCUGGGGAGUACGCCGGNNCGGU
rnacentral:rRNA from 1 species